rnacentral:rRNA from 1 species
UACGUAGGGUGCGAGCGUUAAUCGGAAUUACUGGGCGUAAAGCGUGCGCAGGCGGUUUGCUAAGACUGAUGUGAAAUCCCCGGGCUCAACCUGGGAACUGCAUUGGUGACUGGCAGGCUAGAGUAUGGCAGAGGGGGGUAGAAUUCCACGUGUAGCAGUGAAAUGCGUAGAGAUGUGGAGGAAUACCGAUGGCGAAGGCAGCCCCCUGGGCCAAUACUGACGCUCAUGCACGAAAGCGUGGGGAGCAAACAGG